rnacentral:rRNA from 1 species
CCUACGGGAGGCAGCAGUGAGGAAUAUUGGUCAAUGGACGAGAGUCUGAACCAGCCAAGUAGCGUGAAGGAUGACUGCCCUAUGGGUUGUAAACUUCUUUUAUAUGGGAAUAAAAUGUUCCACGUGUGGGAUUUUGUAUGUACCAUAUGAAUAAGGAUCGGCUAACUCCGUGCCAGCAGCCGCGGUAAUACGGAGGAUCCGAGCGUUAUCCGGAUUUAUUGGGUGUAAAGGGAGCGUAGGUGGAUUGUUAAGUCAGUUGUGAAAGUUUGCGGCUCAACCGUAAAAUUGCAGUUGAAACUGGCAGUCUUGAGUACAGGAGAGGUGGGCGGAAUUCGUGGUGUAGCGGUGAAAUGCUUAGAUAUCACGAAGAACUCCGAUUGCGAAGGCAGUUCACUGGACUGCAACUGACACUGAGGCUCGAAAGUGUGGGUAUCAAACAGGAUUAGAUACCCGAGUAGUC